rnacentral:rRNA from 1 species
AAUCAACGCUGGCGGCGUGCCUCAGACAUGCAAGUCGAACGAUUAAAGCUCUCUUCGGAGAGUGCAUAGAGUGGCGCACGGGUGAGUAACACGUAAGUAAUCUACCUUCGAGUGGGGAAUAACACCGAGAAAUCGGUGCUAAUACCGCAUAAUGCAGCGGCAUCGCAAGAUGACAGUUGUUAAAGAUUUAUCGCUUGAAGAGGAGCUUGCGGCAGAUUAGCUAGUUGGUAAGGUAAUGGCUUACCAAGGCUACGAUCUGUAACCGGUCUUAGAGGACGGUCGGUCACACUGACACUGAACAACGGGUCAGACUCCUACGGGAGGCAGCAGUCGGGAAUUUUGGGUCGAAUGGGCGAAAGCCUGACCCAGCAACGCCGCGUGAAGGAUGAAGUAUUUCGGUAUGUAAACUUCGAAAGAAUAGGAAGAAUAAAUGACGGUACUAUUUAUAAGGUCCGCUAACUACGUGCCAGCAGCCGCCG